GAUCGAUGAUGAGGCUUACCCCGAAGCUGAUAUCCUGAAGAAAAGAAAGUUACGGAUUCGGCUUCUGAGAU
ensembl:snoRNA small nucleolar RNA, C/D box 50B